UACGUAGGGUGCAAGCGUUGUCCGGAAUUAUUGGGCGUAAAGAGCUCGUAGGCGGUCUGUCGCGUCUGCUGUGAAAACUCGGGGCUUAACCCCGGGCCUGCAGUGGGUACGGGCAGACUAGAGUGCGGUAGGGGAGACUGGAAUUCCUGGUGUAGCGGUGAAAUGCGCAGAUAUCAGGAGGAACACCGGUGGCGAAGGCGGUUCUCUGGGCAGUAACUGACGCUGAGGAGCGAAAGCGUGGGUAGCGAACAGG
rnacentral:rRNA from 1 species